CCGGCGACCGGCGCACGGGUGAGUAACACGUAUGCAACCUGUCCGUCUCAGGGGGAUAAUCGUCGGAAACGGCGUCUAAUACCCCGUAUGAAGCUGGACGGCAUCGUCUGGUUUUGAAAGAAUAUCGGAGACGGAUGGGCAUGCGGCGCAUUAGCUAGUUGGCGGGGUAACGGCCCACCAAGGCGACGAUGCGUAGGGGUUCUGAGAGGAAGGUCCCCCACACUGGUACUGAGACACGGACCAGACUCCUACGGGAGGCAGCAG
rnacentral:rRNA from 1 species